rnacentral:rRNA from 1 species
GUGUUCUUCGGAAUGACUGGGCGUAAAGGGCACGUAGGCGGGCUCGAAAGUCAGGGGUGAAAUCCCGCGGCCCAACCGCGGAAGUGCCUCUGAUACUGCGGGCCUCGAGGGAGGUAGGGGCGUGCGGAACUUCCGGUGGAGCGGUGAAAUGCGUAGAUAUCGGAAGGAACACCGGUGGCGAAAGCGGCGCGCUGGACCUCUUCUGACGCUGAGGCGCGAAAGCCAG